CAAACCAGGGACCAUCUGAUACCUGAUGAGACAAAGCUCUCCCGGAGUUUUGUCAUCAGAGACACCUUGGCCCGGACCAGUGCUGACCGCUCCAAGGAAUCCUUUAAUACCGACCGUUCUCGCGGAACCUGGAGGCCCCCUGUUCCUUCCAUGGGAUCCGUCCCAGGCACAAGGACACAAGAGAUGAAUCAGAUCCAGCCUCUGGCCUUGAGAAGCUCCCAGCCUUCUGGGGAGGUGCCCAGGGCCAGCAUGCACAAGGCACUGUGAAGUUAUGCAGGUUGUCACUACACAAGUGCACCCAGCUGAGGAGGCGGUCUCAAAAGAGUAUAAAGAAUCCCAAGGGACAUGUGGGGAAGUGGUCAGAAGACAAGUGGAGGAUCAUUCGUAACACAGCAGCUCUGGGCAGCUCCCCAGGCACCCCGUGUUGGGGAGAGCAGAGAAUGGAUCCUCAGACAGAGCUCAAAUGACAACUCCUCCAGGAAGCCCUCCCCAACACUCAGGCUAAAUAAAUGCUC